GUUUCAAGGACAUUUAUAGGAGCUGGUCUCUGAUUGGCUAGGCGACCAGAUGCAGAAUCCUGUUUUCUGAAGCAGAAUACUUCCACAGAUUUUGACUGCAAAACGUUUUCUGCUGAGGGUAUGUGAGCAGGAAACAUGGAGAAGAAUCCUUUGGCAGCCCCAUUACUUCUCUGGCUUCAAUCUUGACUGCGUGAGCAGCAUCCUGAACGUGGAACAAAGUCCCCGUCCACUGCAUGUUCAGGUGGGAGACAGACACCAACUUCACCUGCAGCUUCCCUUCCAGAAUUUUUAUGUCUUGCACUGGUCAGAUUGGAAACUGCAAAAAUCCCCAAGGCCUUGUUUGUAAUGACUUUAAAUGGGGGAUGAAAAGAAGAAAGGACGAGUAAGUGUCACUCUUAAUACCAAGGAGGGUUACAGCUAUUUGUACAUCAAAGGAUCCCGCCUGAAGACUCAGCACAUACCUCUGUGCCUUUGCACAGUGCUGUUCAGGCACCUGCAGCCCAUACGCAAACCUGGUCUGGUGUUGCACUAUUACCAGCAUUGGCAAAGAACCAUAG